GCCUGUCUAGCUCAAUCGGUAGAGCGCAAGGCUCUUAACCUUGUGGUCCUGGGUUCAAGUCCCAGGGUGGGUG
rfam:Ipomoea nil DNA, scaffold: scaffold3056, cultivar: Tokyo-kokei standard.